GGUUGAUCCUGCUUGAGGUUACUGCUAUCGAGGUUCGACUAAGCCAUGCGAGUCGAAUGCCGCAAGGCAUGGCGUACUGCUCAGUAACACGUGGAUAACCUACCCUUAGGACUGGGAUAACCCCGGGAAACUGGGAAUAAUCCCCGAUAGUCCUCGAAGGCUGGAACGCAUCGAGGGCGAAAGCUCCGGCGCCUAAGGAUGGGUCUGCGGCCUAUCAGGUAGUAGUGGGUGUAGCGUACCUACUAGCCUACGACGGGUACGGGUUGUGAGAGCAAGAGCCCGGAGAUGGACUCUGAGACACGAAUCCAGGCCCUACGGGGUGCAGCAGGCGCGAAAACUUUACAAUGCUGGCAACAGCGAUAAGGGAACCUCGAGUGCCAGGUUACAAAUCUGGCUGUCGAGAUGCCUAAAAAGCAUUUCAUAGCAAGGGCCGGGCAAGACCGGUGCCAGCCGCCGCGGUAACACCGGCGGCUCGAGUGGUAACCGUUAUUAUUGGGUCUAAAGGGUCUGUAGCCGGCCGGAUAAGUCUCUUGGGAAAUCUGGCAGCUCAACUGUCAGGCUAUCAGGAGAUACUGUCUGGCUCGAGGCCGGGAGAGGUGAGAGGUACUUCAGGGGUAGGGGUGAAAUCUUGUAAUCCUUGAAGGACCACCAGUGGCGAAGGCGUUCU
rnacentral:rRNA from 1 species